rnacentral:rRNA from 1 species
UACGUAGGGGGCUAGCGUUGUCCGGAUUUAUUGGGCGUAAAGAGCGUGUAGGCGGCCAGGUAGGUCUGCUGUGAAAACUCGAGGCUCAACCUCGAGACGUCGGCGGAAACCAUCUGGCUAGAGUCCGGAAGAGGAGAGUGGAAUUCCUGGUGUAGCGGUGAAAUGCGUAGAUAUCGAGAGGAACACCUGCGGCGAAGGCGGGUUGCUGGGCUGAUACUGACGCUGAGGCGCGAAAGCCAGGGGAGCGAACGGG